rnacentral:rRNA from 1 species
AUGGAAAACAAUAAUAAAGCCGAAGCCCAACUUGACAGUCUUAGCAAGCUGCCGGAUCACCUUCUACUCAACAUAUUGGAGAGGGUUGAAACGCUAGAUGCCUUGAGAACCUGCAUCCUGUCUAAGAGGAUGCUAAAGCUUCCCCCCAUGCUGUCGCUGCUUGAUAUAGAUAUUGGUUCCCUUGCGCGUUACCUCAAGCCCGAUGUCGACACCUUUAAUCGUAUUUUUCAGUACAACAUUGCUGUGGCUGCUACCACGGACAAGAUACUUGGUGCGAGGAAUCCCGAGAUCCCCAUCCGCGAGCUGAGGGUCAGGUUCUGUUUGAGGCAUGAUGAGUGUCUCUCCAUCAGCCAAGCUGUUGCCCGCACCAUGGCAACCCACAAGCUCGAUGUCGCUGAGUUUGUCGUCCUCACGGAGAAGACUAGUUGGAGAUGCACUCAACAUGAUCUCCUCUCCUUUGCCAAGCGGUUCAAUACUUGGUUUGGUGAUUGUCCAGUUGUGUUUGCUGGUCUCACGCACCUGUGGCUGCGGAAUUUGAGGUUUGGUGAACUGGACAUCCACAACAUCCUCAACACCUGCAAGCGCUUGGAAUCUCUGCGUCUCACCCAUUGUGACGCAGGGGUCCGCUCCGUGCUUCAAGUACAGCAUGCUCAACUUGUUGCGCUCCAGAUCGACUAUGGGGAAUUUGAAGCCAUCCAACUCAACUGUCUACCAAAACUCCAACGUGUCAAAUAUGUUGGUUGGUCUUACCAAGAAGAUCCCCUGAUUUUUGGUUCUGUCCCGCAGCUUUCAAAGCUAAUCCUUGGAAAUGUUGGUGUUAGUUCGACUAGUAAUAUUCAGUUAAGUCAGCUCCUUGCUAAUGUACCCUGGAUAACUGACCUGCGUCUGGAUUUUCAAAGUGAAAAGAUUUGGGUUUUACCUGAGUGCCCUAAACUGCUUGCACCUGUGCUUGGCAAGCUACAGAUUGUGAAUCUGGAUAAUCUUCCUCAAGGAUGCAAUAUUGAUUGGACCAUGUUCAUUCUUGAAGCUGCAAGCUCCCUAAAGGAGCUAUGCAUCACGGUGUGGGAUCAUUGGUGUGAAAUGGAGACAAACAAGGAUGUUCGAAGGAAAAAGGGUUACUGUGAGAAAGCAAACGUGGAGUGGCAACCAUCUGCUGUUCAUUUUAAGCACAAGAAUCUGGUUAAGCUCACCAUCUGCGGCUUCCAACCUGAGGAGAACUUUGUGCGGUACAUUAGGCGUGUCAUGGAAAUCGCGGUGAACAUGAAGGAGAUAUCUCUGUACGACUGGCAGGUGUGCGAGGACUGCGGUGACUUGGAUCCCAAUAUCAAGGUCUGUCCUUCUCGGUAUCCACGGACCACUGAGGAGAAGGAUAUGUUGAGGGAGGAGAUUACUAAGGAGUUGCCGAUGGCUUCGCCUGCUGUGAUUCACUUCAGGUCCUAA